rnacentral:rRNA from 1 species
GAUGAACGCUGGCGGCGUGCCUAACACAUGCAAGUCGAGCGAUUUACUUCGGUAAAGAGCGGCGGACGGGUGAGUAACGCGUGGGUAACCUGCCCUGUACACACGGAUAACAUACCGAAAGGUAUGCUAAUACGAGAUAAUAUGCUUUUAUCGCAUGGUAGAAGUAUCAAAGCUUUUGCGGUACAGGAUGGACCCGCGUCUGAUUAGCUAGUUGGUGAGGUAACGGCUCACCAAGGCGACGAUCAGUAGCCGACCUGAGAGGGUGAUCGGCCACAUUGGAACUGAGACACGGUCCAAACUCCUACGGGAGGCAGCCGUGGGGAAUAUUGCACAAUGGGCGAAAGCCUGAUGCAGCAACGCCGCGUGAGCGAUGAAGGCCUUCGGGUCGUAAAGCUCUGUCCUCAAGGAAGAUAAUGACGGUACUUGAGGAGGAAGCCCCGGCUAACUACGUG